AUCAGAAAAACAAAAAUAAAUAAAAUGUACCAUUUUAGAAAGUUACUAUUAAACGUUUAUGAAUAUUUAUUGUAAUCGUUCAUACAUUGUGAUUAAGUUUAGUGAUUUUAAUUGUUUUAUUAUUUUUAACAAAAAUUAUUAAUGAAACGUAUUGACGUUGGAUCAACCACUGCGAAAAAAGGAGCGUACUCGGGUCAGCUAUUAUUAAUUAUAUAAACAAAUGAGCAUACAACAAGGGCAGACCGAAGAAACGAACGAUGAUUGAAAAAUAUUCACAAUUACCUAGUGAGGAUUAUGAUUGUGAUGACGAUCAAUAUAAUGAACAGAAAGACAACGAAUCAAGCAGUGAUGAAGAUGAAAAUAAAGAUUUAAAUAUAUAAAUAGCGUCUUAAGAAAAAUAUGAAUGUAACUAAUAUUAUUCUAAAGGCUACAUUAGAUGAAAAAUAUUAAUUGUUUUUAAACUGUAGUUUUAACUCAACAAAAA